GGUUCGAUUAUCGUCAGUUGAACGCGCUGGCGGGUGCUUUUACCUGGCUGCAGUCGAACGGCAGCACGGACUUCGGUCUGGUGGCGAGUGGCGAACGGGUGAGUAAUGUAUCGGAACGUGCCUGUAGCGGGGGAUAACUACGCGAAAGCGUGGCUAAUACCACAUACGCCCUUCGGGGGAAAGCGGGGGACCUUCGGGCCUCACACUAAUGCAGCGGCCGAUAUCGGAUUAGCUAGUUGGUAGGGUAACGGCUCUGGGCGACGAUCCGUAGCUGGUUUGAGAAGGACACGUCAAACACUGGGACUGAGACACGGCCCAGACUCCUACGGGAGGCAGCAGUGGGGGAAUUUUGGACAAUGGAAACCUGAUCCAGCCAUCCCGCGUGUGCGAUGAAGGCCUUCGGGUUGUAAAGCACUUACGGCGGGAAAGAAACGGCACGGGAUAAUACCCGUGCAACUGACAACCGCCUGCAGAAUAAGCACCGGCUAACUACGUGCCAGCAGCCGCGGUAAUACGUAGGGUGCAAGCGUUAAUCAGAAUUACUGGGCGUAAAGCGUGCGCAGGCGGUUCGGAAAGAAAGAUGUGAAAUCCCAGAGCUUAACUUUGGAACUUUGCAUUUCCGCUACCGAGCUAGAGUGUGUCAGAGGGGUGGAGUUACGCUGGCAGUGAUGCGUAGAUAUGCGGAGGAACACCGAUGGCGAAGGCAGCCUCCUGGGAUAACACUGACGCUCAUGCACGAAAGCGUGGGGAGCAAACAGGAUAGAUACCCUGGUAGUCCACGCCCUAAACGAUGUCAACUAGCUGUUGGGGCCUUCGGGCCUUGGUAGCGCAGCUAACGCGUGAAGUUGACCGCCUGGGGAGUACGGUCGCAAGAUUAAAACUCAAAGGAAUUGACGGGGACCCGCACAAGCGGUGGAUGAUGUGGAUUAAUUCGAUGCAACGCGAAAAACCUUACCUACCCUUGACAUGUCUGGAAUCCCGAAGAGAUUUGGGAGUGCUCGCAAGAGAACCGAACACAGGUGCUGCAUGGCUGUCGUCAGCUCGUGUCGUGAGAUGUUGGGUUAAGUCCCGCAACGAGCGCAACCCUUGUCGUCAAAGUUGCUGCAGAAGAAGGGCACUCUAAUGAGACUGCCGGUGACAAACCGGAGGAAGGUGGGGACGUCAAGUCCUCAUGGCCCUUAUGGGUAGGGCUUCACACGUCAUACAAUGGUCAGGACAGAGAGAUGGCAACCCUACGAAGAAGACCCAAUCCAGAAACCCGAUCGUAGUCCGGAUCGCAGUCUGCAACUCGACUGCGUGAAGUCGGAAUCGCUAGUAAUCGCGGAUCAGCAUGUCGCGGUGUCGUUCCCGGGUCUGCCACACACCCGUCACACCAUGGGAAUUGGGUUUACCAGAAGUAGUUAACUACCGUAAGGAGGCGAUUACCACGGUAGGAUUCAUGACUGGGGUGAAGUCGUAACAAGGUAG
rnacentral:rRNA from 1 species